UGAAGAAGGCAAGCUGCCAAAUGUGUUGUAAUCGCUAAAAAACAUCCUUCAAACGCCGAUCAAGCCAUUUGUUUCCGCGGAUAACUCGGAUUUGGUCGAAGGACACGCGCCUUCCCCCUGCCCGCAUCCUGAUGACCUGCCUAUAAACUAUCAUCUAAAAACCAGUCCACAAAUGCAAUGGGAUGGAGUGAUUUUUGUUAGAAAUUUCUUCCCUUUUUCCUAACCUGCAUUCAUAAAAAUUCUAACAUUUUAGCGUUUCGUAACGACUCAUUUCUUUUCAAAACAAGAAUUUCAUCUGUUCUUACACUGCAGUAAACAAGCUUAGCCGACUACCAACUGUUGAAGCAAUAAACUAGAUAAAAAAUGACCGACUUAAAUUUUGUCUAAACUUAUCGCACAUUUGUAAAAUUAUACUUUGAGCCACCCACUUUCUCAACCACAGACGUUUGAAUAAUUUUGAAAGCACUGCUUUGCUGGAAACGCCAAGUUCUUGUUGUCUUUUAAAGU